AUUGAACGCUGGCGGCAGGCUUAACACAUGCAAGUCGAACGAGUGGCGGACGGGUGAGUAAUGCUUGGGAAUCUAGCUUAUGGAGGGGGAUAACUACGGGAAACUGUAGCUAAUACCGCGUACCAUAGGAUGAGCCCAAGGGGGAUUAGGUAGUUGGUGAGGUAAAGGCUCACCAAGCCGACGAUCUCUAGCUGGUCUGAGAGGAUGACCAGCCACACGUGGACUUGGAAACGGCCCAGACUCCUACGGGAGGCAGCAGGGGGGAAUAUUGCACAAUGGGCGCAAGCCUGAUGCAGCCAUGCCGCGUGUGUGAAGAAGGCCUUCGGGUUGUAAAGCACUUUCAGCGAGGAGGCGUUACUCGCAGAAGAAGCACCGGCUAACUCCGUGCCAGCCGCCGCGGUAAUUC
rnacentral:rRNA from 1 species